rnacentral:ncRNA from 1 species
UAUGGUGUUCUGAGUUAAACGGGAAAUCGGUACUGCGCGAGCUUAACCCGAUACUGCCCCCGCAACGGUAUACAAAAAUGUUUGAUAAAUAAGCCACUGUGUUUUGAUCAUGGGAAGGUUAUCAAACAGAACUUAUGUUCAUUUGUGAGUCCGGAGACCGGCCUGCUGCA